GUUUGGGCAAAGGGGCCAGAGGCAGCAUCUUUCCCAGAGGAGCUCCCAAUCUUGAGGGACCAAUAUGCUCCCAGAGGGUGGAGCCAUUAGGUAAGGGGAGAGGCAGGGAGGCUGCUUCCUCUGGGUGGAGAGGGGCAGGGGGAUGAGAGAGAGGGGGCCUGGAGACAGGGGCCUGUGGCAGGAAGGAUUCUGACCAGGGAGUGGGGUGAGGGGCGGAGCGUUCCAGGAGGAGCAUUCCAGGUGUGGCGGUUGGACCCUGCAGACGGGGGCCCUAGGGCCCGGCAGAGGCCCGUGCGCAUGCGCUGAUCAGCUGACAGACCUGGUGUGGAAGUUCUGCACGUUGACAUUGCGGUACGGCGCCGUCUUCCGCUGGCACCACAGGA